rnacentral:lncRNA from 1 species
GUACGAUGUGUGCAGGUUCCAUUCCAAGACAAGCAGCAAUGUAACUAAGUUAAGAUAAUAAUGUGUACUUUCUGAAUAGGGUCGCAGCCGAAAGCAGCCUAAGGAUGGUUACACCAGCUUCAUCAGGUGCUUCCUCCGGGUGGAGGACUCGCAUCAGCCAAACGCCGGUUGCCAAGUGUGAGGGAAGGACCUCUCUCACCAAAGGUACUGGCCGUCACAGUGCCACCUAUUGCUGCAUACCAAUGGAAUCUCACCUUGAUGAAAAAUAAUUUUAAGAUAGAAUUUACAUAAUGCAAAUUCUAUCAAAUAGCCCUGAAAUAUUCGUUUCAUGAAAUUACUGUGAAAUUAGUUUUUUUGUUACUUUAAUUUAAGAUAAAUAACAAUGCGAUUUGAUUUAAAAAUAAAUGAAGUCAUGGCUUGUUAUUGCAUUUA